rnacentral:rRNA from 1 species
GAUGAACGCUAGCUACAGGCUUAACACAUGCAAGUCGAGGGGCAGCAGGGAUUUAGCUUGCUAAAUCCGCUGGCGACCGGCGCACGGGUGCGUAACGCGUAUCCAACUUUCCCGUUACUCAGGGAUAGCCUUCCGAAAGGGAGAUUAAUACCUGAUGGUGUUCAAAUUCCGCAUGUUAUUUGAACUAAAGAUUUAUCGGUAACGGAUGGGGAUGCGUGACAUUAGAUAGUAGGCGGGGUAACGGCCCACCUAGUCUACGAUGUCUAGGGGUUCUGAGAGGAAGGUCCCCCACACUGGAACUGAGACACGGUCCAGACUCCUACGGGAGGCAGCAGUGGGGAAUAUUGCGCAAUGGGGGCAACCCUGACGCAGCAACGCCGCGUUGAGGAUGACGGUUUUCGGAUUGUAAACUCAUGUCGGGUGGGAAGAUAAUGACGGUACCACCGGAGAAAGUCACGGCUAACUACGUG